AUGAAUCCCGUGCACCAGAGACCAACGGGUGCGGCAAUAGCGAGGUCUACUCGCUGGGUAAAACCACGCGAAGGAGCCGCAAAGGUAAAUGUCGACGCCGCUGUAUCUCGACGGGGCUAUGGUGCUGUUGGCGCCAUCUGCAUGGAUCAAGAAGGGGCCUUUUUGGGAGCCUCGACUCUUUUUUUCAAAGAUAUCGCUGAUCCACAAACCCUCGAGGCGCUGGCGACAAGGGAAGCAUUGGCUCUCUCGGAGGACCUCUAUCUUCGGAGGAUCCAUGUAGCAUCGGACUGCAAAGGGGUGGUCGAGGACGUCAAGAAGGAAAAUGCAGCGAGCUAUGGAGCAAUUAUUCAUGAAAUAAUAGAUCAUUCUAUGUCUUUUGAUUUCUGUCAUUUUAGUCAUGAGUUUAGGAGCUCGAAUAUCAAAGCUCACAACUUAGCGAAGCAUGCUCUUAAUCUCGGUGGUGACCGCCAUGUUUGGUUAGGACAUCCCGGGAAUCUCUCGUUCGUCCCUGUAACUGUGGUGACGGAUUAA
rnacentral:rRNA from 1 species